GAUGGUGCGAAUUCUCUUUGACUAGGGAUCCAAAGAGGGUGCUAGACCCUUACGCAUUGUUGACUUUUCGUACGCGUUCGUUUCUUGGAGUAGGGUUGUUUUGGAUCGCAGCCCAAAGUAGGUGGUAUACUUCAUCUAAAGCUAAAUACGACUACGAAUCCGAUAGCAAACAAGUACCGUGAGGGAAAGUUGCAAAGUACUUUGAAGAGAGAGUUCAAGAGGACGUGAAACCGGUAGGGUGGAAGCAGAUAAAGUUGACGAACGUGUGUCGUAUUCAGAACUACAAUUUGUGGUUUGUUUUUACGAUCGAUGUGGGCUGGCGUCUUUGGUUAACUUAGUGUCUGGCGGCAAUGGUGACCCUGCGGAGGGAUAAUCGGUUGUCGUGCGAUGCUUGGUAUGGCUAGAGGUUCGCUGGUCUUAUAGUCAUCGCUUUAUCUGACCCGUCUUGAAACACGGACCAAGGAGUGUAGCGCUUACGCGAGUCUUAGAGUGUGUCAAAACUUUGAGGCGUAACGAAAGUAAAUGUGGAUUUAUUCACUGACUUGGGAUGCGUUGUCUUUUUUGGAUAGCGUUGGACCAUGGUUUUAUCGUAAUCGCUUGCGAUGCGGUGAAAAUAGAGCGUAAGCGGUGCG
rnacentral:rRNA from 2 species